GUUGUUUUUCUUUCCAUAAACGUAACUUGAUGUGUGCUUUUCGAGUAAGGUAAGUGCGUCAGAUAUCUGAAAGAUUAUUAUAAAAAGGAAAGCAUAAAUUAUAACAAGAAUUUACAGAAAUAAGAAUGAGACAAAACUAAGAAAAAUGGAUAAAAAUUAAAAAUAAGGAAUACAGACUAACGUGGCUACAAUAUACCGACUGUUGGUUGCUUAACGUCAAGUGGCAAAUAUUUCAUGAAUGUUCAGG
rnacentral:lncRNA from 1 species